rnacentral:lncRNA from 1 species
GCCUUCGCCUAGCCACAGCAGCUCCCUCAUACAGACUCCGCAAGCCAAGAGGCCGUGGAGGCAAAUGCAGACAGCCAGCACACCUCGAACAGCCACCUUGACUGCGGGUGUGUCACCCUAGUCGCCAAGGAAACAUUUGAGGGAAAGCGACAGGCAAUGUGAACAGCCACUUCUCCAUGUAAACGAUACUCUUUCUCUCGGAUGACUCCUACGUUCGCCACGCCAGCACACUUGUGCACAAAGAUGCCGCGGAGGCACGUGCAGGUCAGAGGCAAGAAGCAGUGGCACUGGUGUCGACAUUCGCCCAAUUUCUUUUUCUUACGCUGAGGCAGCCAGCACACCUCGAACAGCCACCUUAACUGCGGGUGUGUUAGUAGGUUCCUGUUGUACAUAUGCUCAUAAUAAACUUCAGUAAACUUGAACUUGAUAAUAAAUUUGAAGGCAAAUGGGACAUUGA